rnacentral:rRNA from 1 species
AUAACCUCGGGAAACUGAGGAUAAUACUUGAUAGAAAAUUUUUUCUGGAAUGAGAAAUUUUUUAAAUUCGAGCCUAAGGAUGGGGCUGCGGCUGAUUAGCUAGUUGUUGGUGUAAUAGACUAACAAGGCGAUGAUCAGUAAGGGCUCUUAGCGGAGAGGCCCUGAGAAGGAAUCUGAGACACUAUUCCUAGCUCUACGGGGUGCAGCAGUCGAGGAAAUUUUUCAAUGCCCGCAAGGGUGAACGAGUAAGCCAGAGUGUUUUCUUUACGAAAACUUUUGUCUGUUGUAAAAAGACAGACGAAUAAGGACUGGGCAAGACCGGUGCCAGCCGCCGCGGUAAUCCCGGCGGUCCAAGUCGCAUCCACAAUUAUUGGGUCUAAAACAUCCGUAGCUUGUUUUGUAAGUCUCUUGUGAAAUUUCAUAUCUCAAAUAUGAAGCGUGCAAGAGAUACUACAUUGCUAGAGACUGGAAGACGCAAAGAGUACGACGGAGGUAGCGGUAAAAUGUGUUAAUCUCUGCCGGACUAACAAUGGCGAAGGCACUUUGCGAGUACAGAUCUGACAGUGAGGGAUGAAGGCUAGGGGCGCAAAAGGGAUUAGAUACCCCUGUAGUCCUAGCAGUAAACACUGCUCACUAAACAUCAGUACCUCCUCGAGAGGUAUUGGUGCUGUAGGGAAGCCGAAGAGUGAGCUACCUGGGAAGUAUAGUCGCAAGACCGAAACUUAA